UUUAAUUGAUAAAGUUAUAAAAAAACAGUAGGUUUAUUAAAUUACAAAAUUUUCUUAGCGUCCGUUUAAUUAAUGAAGUUAUCAAAAUACAAAAAGUUUAUUAAAUAAACUAUAUUUAUAGUUAUUCAAAGAAGAAAUUGGAUUUACAUAAACUCAAUUAGAAUGAUAAGUCUGAUAAAGAAUAUGUAAGUUGAAAUAAUAGAUAUAAAUUGUUAAAAAUUUUUUAAUUAGAACUUAUGUAAAGAUUAUGAUAAACUACGCAGAAUUCAACAGCACAAAUCCCAUAUGGAGACAUUACCUAAAAGGAACAGAUGAAACAGCCAUGUGUAAGGUAAGUACUUGCAAAAAAGUAUUGAAAAUCGCUGGUGGUUCAACAAAAGGUCUACAUUCUCAUUUACUGUCCACACAUAAACUUAAAGUAACGUCGCAAUCUCAAGCACCAAGUUCAUUCGCGACAACUUCGACUUUAAAAGAGUUAGAAGAACCUCAAAAUAAAAAAACAGACAAUUUAUGGAUAAAUAUUGUACUGCGGUAUGGAAAGAAGGGUUAAAAACCAUACAAGAAAACAUUCCUGUUUGUUGGAUAGAUAUGAUAGAAAAGUGUGCACGUUAUUCUUCUGAGCCGGAUAGACCUGUCAUUCAAAUGAUUACAGAUUGCACAGAGCCUGCCUGACAUACAAUGGUUUUCAUUUCCACUACAAAGAGUGAAAAGUUUUAGUGAUUCUUUAGUGGAACUUGAAAAUUUAUAUAAUCUAACUACUGAGGAAGACACUGGAUCAGCAAAAGCAGAGCUAAUAAAUACAAAUAAAAACAACGAUCUUCAAUGUUUUUGUAAGUGUGCAUAUAAUAUUAUUUCUAAAAAAAUUUAUUUCUUCAAUAAUUUGUAUAUUUAACUAUUUCAGGAAAAUGUACAUUAAAAUUUUUAUUUAGCUAUAAAGUUUUUUUUUUAAAAAAAGAUAAGAAGGAAAGUAUUAUUUGUGGUGGUACACUAUUAUUUAUUG